AACGAACGCUGGCGGCAGGCUUAACACAUGCAAGUCGAACGGUUGUAGCAAUACAGCAGUGGCAGACGGGUGAGUAACACGUGGGAACCUUCCUAGGGGUACGGAACAACUCAGGGAAACUUGAGCUAAUACCGUAUACGUCCGCGAGGAGAAAGAUUUAUCGCCCUUAGACGGGCCCGCGUAGGAUUAGGUAGUUGGUGGGGUAAUGGCCUACCAAGCCUACGAUCCUUAGCUGAUCUGAGAGGAUGAUCAGCCACACUGGGACUGAGACACGGCCCAGACUCCUACGGGAGGCAGCAGUGGGGAAUCUUGGACAAUGGGCGCAAGCC
rnacentral:rRNA from 1 species